rnacentral:rRNA from 1 species
UACGUAGGGUGCGAGCGUUAAUCGGAAUUACUGGGCGUAAAGCGUGCGCAGGCGGUUCGUCGUGUCCGAUGUGAAAGCCCCGGGCUCAACCUGGGAAUGGCAUUGGAAACUGGCGGACUCGAGUGUGGCAGAGGGGGGUGGAAUUCCGCGUGUAGCAGUGAAAUGCGUAGAGAUGCGGAGGAACACCGAUGGCGAAGGCAGCCCCCUGGGCCAAUACUGACGCUCAUGCACGAAAGCGUGGGGAGCAAACAGG